AUGUACCAGUCGUACACUCCGGUUCCUGCGCGCCGUCCGCGCCCACCUGACGGCUGCUCGCUACGUUUUGUUAGCC
rnacentral:sRNA from 1 species